AUUGAACGCUGGCGGCAUGCUUUACACAUGCAAGUCGAACGGUAACAGGCCGCAAGGUGCUGACGAGUGGCGAACGGGUGAGUAAUGCAUCGGAACGUGCCCAGUCGUGGGGGAUAACGCAGCGAAAGCUGCGCUAAUACCGCAUACGAUCUAUGGAUGAAAGCGGGGGACCGUAAGGCCUCGCGCGAUUGGAGCGGCCGAUGUCAGAUUAGGUAGUUGGUGGGGUAAAGGCUCACCAAGCCAACGAUCUGUAGCUGGUCUGAGAGGACGACCAGCCACACGGGGACUGGGACACGGCCCAGACUCCUACGGGAGGCAGCAGUGGGGAAUUUUGGACAAUGGGCGCAAGCCUGAUCCAGCAAUGCCGCGUGCAGGAAGAAGGCCUUCGGGUUGUGAACUGCUUUUGUACGGAACGAAACGGUCCUGGUUAAUACCCGGGGCUAAUGACGGUACCGUAAGAAUAAGCACCGGCUAACUACGUGCCAGCCGCCGCAGUAAAAC
rnacentral:rRNA from 1 species